rnacentral:lncRNA from 1 species
GCUUCCAAUAAAUAAUUGAUUGUUAUUUUAGUUUCUUUGCUAUAAAUGAUCUUGUGAUUUACUAGAUACUCAACAACAUCCUUACACUUAUGAAUCGUAUAUGUAAGUGCAAGUAAUAAGUUUACUAUCUUAAAGAAGUACACCACUAAUUCAUAGUCCCAUUGCUUUCUAUGUUAAAUUCCCCUGUUUUAAGCAGGCACACCUCUUUUGUUUUAAGUUCAAAUAAAGUGACAAUCAUUGUAUUUAAAAACAACACUUUAUGGUGACUUGUACUGAAACAAAAAUCAACAUACCUUUAAUGGCAUAUAACAAAGAACUGGUUCCCGGAACUUCGGAUGUACCAAAAACAGAUACUUCAGAUCUGACAAACAGACAAAGUGUACCCUCUUUUUAAAAUUUGGUGCAAACGUGUUCUAUGAUGAUCACCAGUCCUUCAGCUUUUAUUUGAUACCAAAAAUAUCUAAAUAUUCUACAUCUUUUGAAAGUUACACUCCUGCGUAGGAACUAUUUUGUGUUAAAUAUGUACUACUUUCUGGUAUGUGCUUUCUGGCCGAGCCUGAAUUAGUGGUUUUAACCUUAAGCAUGUUUUGUGUAACGUGCUAUUUAUACUUUACAUUUUUAAAGUACGUAGUAAAUCAAUGUAUCGACAAUUUGUACAUUUUCAUUUUGUUCUUACUGCCAGACAUUUUAAGACCAUGAACAGGACUUAAGAUUCGAAAAUAUUCGACAAUGACGUCAUUUAUAAAUGCAGCAAGGUCACCUGUUCAAACCCAAUUUAUCGAUGGAAUGUACUCAACUUCAUUUAUACAACUAAACACCUAUCCGAACGUUUUGUAUGAGAUUAAAGUAGUUUUGCCUCAUAUUUUCCGCCAAAAAAGGAUUAAUCAAUAAACUACAGUAAGCAUAAAUUGCCGAAUAAAGGAGUUAUGGCCUUGAUUUAAUACUGAAUUCAUCAGCGCGCCCUUUUCUUAAUCGUCUAAUAUUCUUGCCGAUAAAGUCAGUAAAAAUGCCAUUAUUCUUAAUAACUUAACAACAAUACUAAUCACCAGACUACAGGUAUAUAAGCAUUUAAAGGAC